UACGUAGGGGGGCGAGCGUUGUCCGGAUUCAUUGGGCGUAAAGAGCUCGUAGGCGGCUUGGCAAGUCGGAUGUGAAAACUCCAGGCUCAACCUGGAGCCGCCAUUCGAUACUGCUAUGGCUAGAGUCCGGUAGGGGAGUGUGGAAUUCCCGGUGUAGCGGUGAAAAUGCGUAGAUAUCGGGAGGAACACCAGUGGCGAAGGCGACUAUCUGGGCUGCAACUACGCUGAGGCGCGAAGGCUAGGGUAGCAAACAGG
rnacentral:rRNA from 1 species